rnacentral:rRNA from 1 species
CCUACGGGUGGCAGCAGUGGGGAAUAUUGGACAAUGGGGGGAACCCUGAUCCAGCCAUGCCGCGUGUGUGAAGAAGGCCCUCGGGUUGUAAAGCACUUUCAGUGAGGAAGAACGCCUGGUGGUUAAUACCCAUCAGGAAAGACAUCACUCACAGAAGAAGCACCGGCUAACUCCGUGCCAGCAGCCGCGGUAAUACGGAGGGUGCGAGCGUUAAUCGGAAUUACUGGGCGUAAAGCGCGCGAAGGUGGCUUGAUAAGCCGGUUGUGAAAGCCCCGGGCUCAACCUGGGAACGGCAUCCGGAACUGUCAAGCUAGAGUGCAGGAGAGGAAGGUAGAAUUCCCGGUGUAGCGGUGAAAUGCGUAGAGAUCGGGAGGAAUACCAGUGGCGAAGGCGGCCUUCUGGACUGACACUGACACUGAGGUGCGAAAGCGUGGGUAGCAAACAGGAUUAGAUACCCUGGUAGUC